AUUGAACGCUGGCGGCAGGCUUAACACAUGCAAGUCGAGCGGGGUGAUGGUGCUUGCACUAUCACUUAGCGGCGGACGGGUGAGUAAUGCUUAGGAAUCUGCCUAUUAGUGGGGGACAACAUCUCGAAAGGGAUGCUAAUACCGCAUACGUCCUACGGGAGAAAGCAGGGGAUCACUUGUGACCUUGCGCUAAUAGAUGAGCCUAAGUCGGAUUAGCUAGUUGGUGGGGUAAAGGCCUACCAAGGCGACGAUCUGUAGCGGGUCUGAGAGGAUGAUCGGCCACACUGGGAGUGAGACACGGCCCAGACUCCUACGGGAGGCAGCAGUGGGGAAUAUUGGACAAUGGGGGGAACCCUGAUCCAGCCAUGCCGCGUGUGUGAAGAAGGCCUUAUGGUUGUAAAGCACUUUAAGCGAGGAGGAGGCUCUUUUGGUUAAUACCCAAGAUGAGUGGACGUUACUCGCAGAAUAAGCACCGGCUAACUCUGUGCCAGCAGCCGCGGUAA
rnacentral:rRNA from 1 species